rnacentral:rRNA from 1 species
CAGUCGCCACGGUAAUACGAAGGGUGCAAGCGUUACUCGGAAUUACUGGGCGUAAAGCGUGCGUAGGUGGUGGUUUAAGUCCGUUGUGAAAGCCCUGGGCUCAACCUGGGAAUUGCAGUGGAUACUGGGUCACUAGAGUGUGGUAGAGGAUAGUGGAAUUUCCGGUGUAGCAGUGAAAUGCGUAGAGAUCGGAAGGAACAUCUGUGGCGAAGGCGACUAUCUGGGCCAACACUGACACUGAGGCACGAAAGCGUGGGGAGCAUACAGGAUUAGAUACCCCGGUAGUCCCUGUCUCUUAUAA